rnacentral:tRNA from 1 species
GGCCCCGUAGCUCAGGUGGAUAGAGCACAGGAUUCCUAAUCCUGGUGCCGCAGGUUCGAAUCCUGCCGGGGUCACCA